GAAGCUUUGGACUUUGGGUGGAGCUGAAACCAGCUUACAAAUAGAACGAUCAUAUGGGUUUGGCUGUCUUGUGUUUGACUAAGAUGUGUAACUGACAAAUAAUCACAUUGUUUUGCUGUCUUGUGAUAAAAAGAUGUAUGUAACUGGCAAUUGAUUACAUUGUUUAGGCUGUCUCAUGACUGGUUGAGAUAUUGCUUCACUAUGGAAAAUGUUUUGCUUGGCAGUUUUUUAGAAUGAUAUAUAAAGGGCAGUUAGAAGUCGAUACAGAGAGAGUUAGUGUGUGACAGUUAGUGUUGACACAAGUCGACGAGGUAGCACCAACAGGUGCAGGAAGAGAGAGCAGUUAUUCUCAGGAAGAUUUUCAGAAGCAGCAUCCUCCUAAGAGGAUUUUUUAAACUUAGAUUUACUCUUUUUUGUAUUUUUUAAUCUUGAAAUAAACUUUUUGGAAAAAGAAUCCUCAUUCUCGAUUCUCAAAGGUCUCUUUUAGCCUUUGAGUGGGAGCCCCGACCAGAUCUAAAGGAGAGAGAUGAGAUGAUUGCAGCAGCAUGGGAAAUCUCUAAGCAUGAUCAGAGACAGGAACACCCUGAUAGGCCUAUUCUGAUGGUCUACGUGCUGCUGGCCAGACUGACUACUCUGGACCUAAGCGAGACCUCCAUUGAACUCCCACCCCUCCCUCCUCACCCAUUUCAGGAUCAAAGCUCAGCUGGAUGCCUUGGGACUGAAUGAGAAUGAUGCUGCCAUCCACCCUUGACCACACCAUAACCAUGCUAACUCAUAUCAUGGCAUUUCCUGUAGAUAGCCCAAGAAUGCUACUGUUUGUCUUGUUUCUUUUAUUCUCGGUCUCCGUGGAAUGUCAAAUAACACAAUAUGCAAGAGGAAAUAUUGGAUUUCGCCAUCACCAAAGUGUUUAUUUGUUGGAUUUAUAUGCAGAACUGGUGGUCUGCUGAACGUUGCCUGGAGAUGGACCAAACAACUGGUCUGCGGUCGAAGUGAAGUGGUCCUUUUAAAAAUCAUAUCAAGCUAUAUGGGCUUGGAGUUCAGCGUUUCACACACUUCUGUCUUUGUUUUCUGUGCACAAUUGGAUAAAUGUGUCUGUUCAGCUAAGCUGUAGUCAGCCAAAACUGCCCAAAUGGUUUCAAUUGCGAGGCAAAAUCCUUGCAAGACGAGUUACCUCAUUGAAAUAAUAUCUCCCACCCCCCUUGAAUUCUUUAGACUGCCAAUAUAUAUCCGUAUGCAUCAAAAUAUCUGGCAUGGAUGCAGUUAAAACCUGUCUUUCUUAUUUUUGCAGGACCAUUAGGGCCCAUCUCAUGCAGAUAAUAUGCUGAAUAUAAUUCUUCUGUCUAAAUGCAGGAGAUAUUUUUGGGUAAAUACAAAUCAUUGGAGUUUCACUGCUGAAUUUAAUUAAGCAAUGAGGCCAACAAGGUAAAUUAGGAUUGGAGCUGAGUCAGUCUUACAGAGGCCUCUUUAUACCACUGUCAAAGUGAAAGGGGCCCAAGGUUAGCAUGCAUCACACAUAGGAAAACACCCGGCAGCCCCCCAGACAGGGGACGAGACCAGAGCAGUCUGCCUCUGAAUCCCUCUUUGCUCGCUGUUUAUAAGGGCCAUGCCGCCUCACCAGAACCACUUUCAAAGGGCUUUCCUCCACAUUGUGAGGCCCCCCAUUUCCUCUUCUUUCUCAGGAGGGAAAUGUAAGUGUGUAGGAGUGGAAAUGUUGCAGAGUUUAAGGGAAAUGAAUGGACGAAUAAAGCAAUGUUAUUUGUGGAACUGAGAGGCCCAUAGGCUUAAAAUAAACUUACACAAAACGACUUACUGGAAACUGCACAGUCGUCUGUUGUUGAUUAUUGUCUCAUUUUUCUGCAGGCACAGACUGUUAGAGAGCAGGAUGGAGAAAGAAUAUGUAAACUUUUGUUCGAUCAAGGUCACAGAGUGGCCAGAUGCAAGGCUCUCUAUCUACCCCUGGGAUCGGUCUUCCUAUUGGACAUCCCGUCUCUGAUGAAUUGUCACUCUUCUCAUUGAAGACCACAAAGAGGAAGCUGGCCACUGCCAGGACAAACCCACUUGACCUUGUUGGCCAAUAGGAUCGUUCCAGCUGUCCAGCAUCCUUUGCACUCACAGAGCCACAGCUGCCUCAGGAGCUCUUCUUCUGGAAUUUUGUGUGUGUGUGUGUGUGUGUGUGUGUGUGUGUGUGUGUGUGUGUGUGUGUGUGUGUGUGUGUGUGUGUGUGUGUGUGUGUGUGUGUGUGUGUGUGUGUGUGUGUGUGUGUGUGUGUGUGUGUGUGUGUGUGUGUGUGUGUGUGUGUGUGUGUGUGUGUGUGUGUGUGUGUCCUUCCUCUCCCUAAUCUCUGACCACACACACUUGUUCACUUGUGACAGGCAGCCGCUGCCUCUUGGCUCAGGUCCAGUCCUCCCACUGGUCUUCUGCUCUGCUCGAGAAAACUGCACGUUGUGAGGAAAAUGAACAGGAAAGUUGGGGGAUACUUCAGGGUCAACUGUUUGAACAGAACCAGUGACCCCCACUCAGCAGAGUGACAUAACAUAAAUAUAACCGUGAGCUCACAUGAAGUACAUCACUCUCUUUUUGCAGAUGUAUGCAUGCUUUACUAUUUUACAGACAGCACAAACAGAACCACAUCACUAAAUACUUUCAACACUUGUUUACCAAGUAUCUUACAGGCAUUGUGCGUUUCGUUUGGCCUGCACAACAUUUACGUAGAAGCAAGACGACAGUUGAAGCCAAAAAUUAACCAAAACUCCCCCUAGUGUCUGUUUAAAGUACAAAUUUUAUGAAUAACCAGCCCCUACAUUGAAAGCUCUCAUUCACUUGUUUUUUUUUUUCCCAAUACAUUUGCUCCGGUCUCUCGUAUAAAUGCUCUGUAAGUCAUUUUCAAUAGCAAACAGCUCUGGCGCUCCUGUUUCAGGAAGCAGAAAUUAGCCAGGGAGAGUGGGGCAGAAAAUGGAGGGAUACUAUUUGUGAUAUUUGGACAUCUCCCUCUCAUUGCAACAAGGAACAUGACUCUUCCACUGUCUCCUUUUGUUCUGCAAGGCUGAUGUUUUAUCUCCACAAUUAACACAAGCCUGAAGAAGUUCUGCCCUGUUGUGGAGUUGCUAAUGCUAACGGUUAGCUUCUCUAAGCUGAUAUGCGCUCUGCUUUCUCCUGGCUGCAAAAAUCAACACCCCUCCCGGACACCAGCCAAAGGAAUGAUUCCGGGAAUGCAAAUUCGAGUGACGUAAACCUGUGUGGCUUUAUCUGACCUGAGCUUUUCCACUGCUGUUUUCCUUCUGUGGAUAAUGCACGAAAUAGGGGUAGAAAACUAUUUUCAUGUUCAGCCUGCAUGUUAAACUCAGAGGGGCCGAUCAUAUUUCAGAAAUAACAAGUAAAAACCGGUUUCUCAGUGAACUUGCUCUUUAAACAAAUGGGACGUUUUCCUAACUAAAAAAUGAAAUAGUACAGCAACAAAAAGUGUCAGGAAACAGAGAAUUCAUGGCCAUGUUUGUUAAUGUUGAAGAUCCAUCUGUAGAGCUCCGGACGUCACGUGACUCUCAGAGAGUAGACGCCAUGUUGGCAGGCAACAAAGGUAAACAAAAUGAACGGGAUCGGCUUGGAUUUUACUCCGUCGGAGUUUACUUCACACUUUAAAACCGAAGAAAUCCUUUUAUAUAGUCAGAAAUUAAAUAGACUAAACAUCUCCGACCCUUACCGUGCCCCUGGGAUACUUUGCUGUGCUGUUUGAAUGUAUAAACUGAACGCCAAGAGAAAUCACUAGUUUGAUUUUUUCCCGUGAAUAAAAUAAAUAUGUCAGGCAGGAGCGUCUCAGGAUCUGUCUGAGAUCUGUCUCGGUGAGACAGAUAAUAGCAAUCCAAAGUGCUUUUUAUGUGUGAUCUGACAAUUGAUCAGCCGUUGCUUAAAAAUGAAAUGCAGCUUAGCCGGUUAAUUGCUGUGAUCAUAAAACAUGUAAACGGCAGCACGCAGAACUCACGAGGCAACGUUUUAUGUGAUGUUUACUUGUUGCUGAGUAAUAAAACAGGAAAAGCCACGCCAAAAUAAGUUUAGGAAGCCCACUAAGAAUUGUAAUAAAAGCAUUUAAAAUAAAUACCAUACACAGUUGAGGAAACAUUGGUUUAAGUACCUGAUAUGAAGUGGUCGCUGCAUAUGCAAAAACCUUUACUCUCGGGGUCCCACAGCUUCAUUUUUGCCCGGUCACUAGCGCGUUUUACUGCAAUGAUCCAACGUUUGCGGCGCUCCUGAUCUUGGGGAAUCCUGUAGAUGGCUCAUCCCUGAUGUCGUCCGCGUCUGUUCUGGCAUCCUGGGGCACAACAGGAAUCUAUCAUAUUUCCCGUUUGAGUUUUCUGACAAUAACAAAUAGUCCAGCUGCGGGCUUCUGCCUGCCAAGAUGGCACCGUUUCGAUUUGAACUGUUGCAUGCCGGAAGAAGUCAUGUCAACUCCCGGAGCUCUACUGACAGUGAAACGUUUUUAGUGUGGUUCCUUUUUGCAAAAUAAACAUGAAUUUCUAUUGUACACUUACAUUUUACAGUCCGUCUUUAACACUUCAGAGUGAUCAGAGUUGCUGAGGUUUGUCAUUUCAGCUGCAAUUUUGAAGUUGCAACAUUAUCUGUUAGAAUAUUCUUAACCACUCUUGUUCCCUUUUUAAUGUAAUACUUUUGGUUUUGAGGGUUUCCAGAAUUGCAGAAGCUUCCGACCAGUGAGAAUUUUUU